rnacentral:lncRNA from 1 species
AUGCCCUUUGCAGGCUACUACGAUGAAAUUGAAAGUGCAGUGGUGAUGAUUUCAGAUAACAGGGACGGGGGAAAGCUUUAAAGUCCCUCCCCCUGCUCCUAAUUGGUCCUCUAUACCAUGAGCUCUGGCUCCGCCCAGGAUGUGGCGGUGGAGAAUUUCCUGCGUGACAUAGAGAGGCGGGGCCAGUGGCUGCACUGCGCUGUUAUUGGCUGUGAGGAGGAGCAUUCCUGUGGCGACAUGAACCUUUUGUACCGCAAAAGUCGACUGGAUUGGAGACACAGAGAUCAGGAGGGCAAGAAAAGAUUAUACCUGGGCGACAGCUGUACUGUGAGAUCUCCAUGGCCAACUCAUACGCUGUGUGCCCUGUCUGCGCAUCAUAUCCUGUGGUGCAGUUCUUUUCUGUUAAUGUGUGUCACACUCUACUAGCUCAGCAUCUUCUCUGCCUUCUGCCUGACAACAAAGACUCACACACACUGCUGAACAGUGUAUUGAUGAGUUGCUUCCAUCUGGACCUUGUGCACAUCAACCUUCAUAAAGGUCAGAGGAGGGGAGCACAGUGAUCUCUAGACAAUAUUUACACAUCUUAAAAGUUAACAGGAAGAAGUUUGUGAAUUUUUAAUAUGACACUUAUGCUCAGAGGAAGAAAAAAAAUCACAAUGUAAUGAAAGGAGACUUUUGGUUAAGUAUCUUGCUUCCCAG